GGCCCGGUAGCGGAUGGUCCGCACCUGCUGUCGAUGAGCAAUUGUUACUUCAUCUAUGCAGGACUCGCUCGUUCGAAUCGAGCCCGGGCCA